rnacentral:rRNA from 1 species
CCGGGUUGCGGACAGUGUCUGGUGGGUAGUUUGACUGGGGCGGUCUCCUCCUAAAGAGUAACGGAGGAGCACGAAGGUUGGCUAAUCCUGGUCGGACAUCAGGAGGUUAGUGCAAUGGCAUAAGCCAGCUUGACUGCGAGCGUGACGGCGCGAGCAGGUGCGAAAGCAGGUCAUAGUGAUCCGGUGGUUCUGAAUGGAAGGGCCAUCGCUCAACGGAUAAAAGGUACUCCGGGGAUAACAGGCUGAUACCGCCCAAGAGUUCAUAUCGACGGCGGUGUUUGGCACCUCGAUGUCGGCUCAUCACAUCCUGGGGCUGAAGUAGGUCCCAAGGGUAUGGCUGUUCGCCAUUUAAAGUGGUACGCGAGCUGGGUUUAGAACGUCGUGAGACAGUUCGGUCCCUAUCUGCCGUGGGCGCUGGAGAAUUGAGGGGGGCUGCUCCUAGUACGAGAGGACCGGAGUGGACGCAUCACUGGUGUUCGGGUUGUCAUGCCAAUGGCACUGCCCGGUAGCUAAAUGCGGAAGAGAUAAGUGCUGAAAGCAUCUAAGCACGAAACUUGCCCCGAGAUGAGUUCUCCCUGACUCCUUGAGAGUCCUGAAGGAACGUUGAAGACGACGACGUUGAUAGGCCGGGUGUGUAAGCGCAGCGAUGCGUUGAGCUAACCGGUACUAAUGAACCGUGAGGCUUAACCUU